rnacentral:sRNA from 1 species
CAAGAAGAGGAAGAAGA